CCCCUUUGCAGAAGCAUUUGAAACACUUAUAUCAGGCCUGCCGGUUCUUCCGGCUAUGGUGAUAAACGGCGUUGUAAUAAGCUCAUUGGACCCGGGGGCGGUACCCGGCGCCUCCACCACAAACAGGCGGUUCAGGCCUUUUUGUGAUGGGGGCGAAACAGGAUCGACAAGAGUGUAAAGAACGACCUUUUACCCGGCAUGAUACCACCGUUAUCGGGUCAAACGAGUAGUUGCAAAUGACAACAAAGCUCAGGGUUACGCUGUAGCUGCCUAAUGG
rnacentral:tmRNA from 1 species